GAUGAACGCUGGCGGCGUGCUUAACACAUACAAGUCGAACGGAAAGGCUCCUGCUUGCAGGGGUACUCGAGUGGCGAACGGGUGAGUAACACGUGGGUGAUCUGCCCUGCACUUCGGGAUAAGCCUGGGAAACUGGGUCUAAUACCGGAUAGGACGAUGGUUUGGAUGCCAUUGUGGAAAGUUUUUUCGGUGUGGGAUGAGCUCGCGGCCUAUCAGCUUGUUGGUGGGGUAAUGGCCUACCAAGGCGUCGACGGGUAGCCGGCCUGAGAGGGUGUACGGCCACAUUGGGACUGAGAUACGGCCCAGACUCCUACGGGAGGCAGCAGUGGGGAAUAUUGCACAAUGGGCGCAAGCCUGAUGCAGCGACGCCGCGUGGGGGAUGACGGCCUUCGGGUUGUAAACUCCUUUCGCUAGGGACGAAGCGCAAGUGACGGUACCUGGAGAAGAAGCACCGGCUAACUACGUG
rnacentral:rRNA from 1 species